rnacentral:rRNA from 1 species
UACGUAGGGACCAAGCGUUGUCCGGAAUCAUUGGGCGUAAAGAGCGUGUAGGCGGCUUGUUAAGUCUUGCGUGAAAUCUCGGGGCUCAACCCCGAGCGGUCGUGAGAAACUGGCAGGCUAGAGUGCGGGAGAGGAGAGUGGAAUUCCUGGUGUAGCGGUGAAAUGCGCAGAUAUCAGGAGGAACACCGGUGGCGAAGGCGGGGUCUCUGGGGCCG